AUUUAUCGAAUCACAUAGGAUAUUUCUCUUCUUUUACUAGAAGCGGUAGAUUCUUUAUUGAUCAUACAUUAUCUCCAUGUACAACUUAUUAUACCCAAGCAUACCGUUUGAUUUACCCUAAGGAUCUUAAGGAAUAAGUCAAAGUAUAACUCAUCAUACACAAGAUACUAUGAUGAUCUCAAGUUUAAGGAUCACUUGUACUACUAUCACUACAGGAAUUCCUAUCGACAGGCAAGUAAAACUCCAUUAGGUAUUCCUUAGCGAGCCACGUUCAGUGAACUUAUUCUCUAAUAAGCACCUACAUACUUGCUUUAGUGUCUCCACAUAAAUGAUCAUGAGAUCAAUCAUCCUCAUCCAAUGAGCAAGCAACACAUGUACCAAUCUAUCCGGAUUCACUAAUCCCCAAUUUAGUAAUCCAACGAUUGGGAACUAUUUUAGUUUUAAGCUUUCUAAGAA
rnacentral:lncRNA from 1 species